ACAACCCCUUCUCUAAAGACCACUUCUCCACGCUGCCGCCAACGCGUCUGCCAAACUCCAUACGGGAACUUAACCCAACAACAUACAAAAUGUGCCCAAACACCGAUCAAGCCACUAGGUUCGACACUACACUGGUAACACCAACACUAAAAUGCUCUUUUCUUCACCCAAAACUCACCUACCGAUCACCCAAACCCCCCUAGUGACUACCAGGAGUGCGCCUCCACACAGUUCUUCGUGCGGAUACCGAUUGCUAGCGUCAUCAAGCUUCAUGAUGCCUUCGGGUACCUAAUGGCUGAUCUCUUCCCUUCCCCUUUCUUAUGGCCACGAGCGAACGAACGAACGAACAAACGAACGCACGAGCUCGAUACCAACCCUCUCAUUACAUUCUAAUUCUAUGCGGUCGAUUACUAUUCAAGGUGUGGAGAGAGACAGAAAUAUCGUUAUUUAAACGUGUGCUGAAAAUAGUUUGUGAAUGAAGAUGUUUUCAAUGGUUGGGCUCAUGUGAAGUUAGACGUUUGACCUGAGCCUAACAAACAUUGAUUUCAACUAUACCUGUUGGCCACAGCACUAAUAGUAGGAUGACAACGGUACUGGAAAACAUCCAAACAAACAUUAAUAUACACUUAGAAUUGCGUAUGUAGUAAGUCUUAACCACCCUGCCAGAGAUGAGUAUUCUCUACUGAACUACGUUAUGGACUACGUUAUGGUACCUGGGUUCUAAGAAGUGUGGUUCUGUAACCCUAGAUCAAAAACAAGUAAAAUCUUAUCAAUCACUUGUGAAGACUGACACAAAAGAAAUAGACAUAAAGGCAUGGAAACACACAAGCUGCACACGUGACUCCGACCACUUGCACUCCGUCAAGUUUCUGAUAGUAGAUAAACACCAAAUUGGAAAAUGUUGUCGGGUGAAAACCUUUUUAUAGUUUGGUUUGCUCACAGCUAUUUCUAUCAUAAAAAUGAAUAGAGCCUAUACUAUACAUCCGUAAACAAAGUUAGUUCAAUGAAUUGUACAAACUAGUGCAAAGUGUGGUAGGUCUACGGUCUACUGAGGUCUACGGAACUUACUAAUUUUUGCAAAGUUCUUCACGGAUAUAUGAUUUACCAGCAUAAGUAUUUUUAUGUUUGAUGAUCAAACGACACUGACAGUGCAAAGUCAAACCCUGCAAAAUAAUAUCAAUACCCUGUCACCCAUUGUUUGUAAAUUAGUUGGAAUCAUAUCAGUUAACAGUAGUAUCAUGAUCUGACUGGUAAAUAAUAUCAAUACCCUGUCACCCAUUGUUUGUAAUUAGUUGGAAUCAUAUCAUUUACCUAGUAUAUCACUAACCUGACUGGUAAAGAACUCAACAACCGCAUCAGCUGAACACAAACUAGGUUUGUUAGUUUGUAAAGUUGGUUUGUUACUCUGUUUGGAAUUCUUGAAUUCAUUAACCCAUUUAAAGAACUGAUUAAAAAACAUUUUGUUACUUUAUAAACUCAACAUUAAUAUGAGUGGAGCAGCAUCUUAGGCUCUUUCUGCUCAAAUAUAUACAGUAAUUGUGUUUA
rnacentral:lncRNA from 1 species